AAAAAAUUCGUUUUUCUGUCACAGUCUAAUCUUUAUCCCUAAAAAUUGAAUUGAAUUCUAUUGUAACUUUUUCGUUUUUUCAAGGUAUCUUGAUGUAUUAUCUGAAAUGAUAGAGCAAAAACGUGGAAUGAUGGAAAAAAUGAUCGCGAUUCAACAAAAAAAUGUAGAAAAACAAAACGAAGUUACGAGGGAGAUAAAUGAUUUACAACCUCUUCUUAACAUUGUUAUACAACGCACAAAAGAAUUGCGAACUGACAUUGAAAGAGAUAUUUCAAAGAAAUAUCAAUCACGGCCUGUACAGUUGACUGGAAUAAUAAACCAUAUGUAAUAGUUUUCUUCACAGAAUGUAUAUGUAUAAAGUUUAAUAAUAAAAAUUCGGGAAGCACCACAGAUUAUAAAGAUUGAAUUUU